AUGGCUCAGUGAGGCCUUGGGACUGGCUCAGAGAGGUCGGCAACGACCACUCAGAGCCGGAAACUUGGUCAAACUUGGUCAUUUAGAGGAAGUAAAAGUCGUAACAAGGUUUCCGUAGGUGAACCUGCGGAAGGAUCAUUACCGAGUUAGGGUCCUCUGGGCCCGAACCUCCCAACCCUUUGUCUACUCAACCUCUGUUGCUUCGGCGGGCCCGUCCUUUACCGGACCGCCGGAGGACCGUCGCCUUGCGGCGGCGCCUCUGGCCCGUGCCCGUCGGUGGCCAACCUUGAAACUCUUUGCUUAAAUCGUGUUGUUUGUCUAAAUUCAAAACCAAAAAUAAAACGCAAAACUUUCAACAACGGAUCUCUUGGUUCUGGCAUCGAUGAAGAACGCAGCGAAAUGCGAUAAGUAAUGCGAAUUGCAGAAUUCCAGUGAGUCAUCGAAUCUUUGAACGCACAUUGCGCCCUUUGGCAUUCCGAAGGGCAUGCCUGUUCGAGCGUCAUUAUCACCCCUCAAGCCUCGCGCUUGGUGUUGGACGGCCCGGUCGAGUUCGUCUCGACCCCUCCCAAAGACAAUGACGGCGGCCUGCGGUUCCCCCGGCACACUGAGCUUUUCACCGAGCACGUGUCGGAUUGAAGGGUACCCGGGCUACGGUCCGCUUUCCUAGUACUAGGAAACUCCACGUAAGGUUGACCUCGGAUCAGGUAGGAAUACGCGCUGAACUUAAGCAUAUCAAUAAGCGCAGGAAAAGAAACCAACAGGGAUUGCCUCAGUAACGGCGAGUGAAGCGGCAACAGCUCAAAUUUGAAAUCUGGCCUCUUGGGGCCCGAGUUGUAAUUUGUAGAGGAUGUUUUGGGUACCGCCCCGGUUUAAAUUUCUUGGAACAGAAUGUCAAAGAGGGUGAGAAUCCCGUCUUGGACCGGCGGUAGGGCCUGUGUAAAACUCCUUCGACGAGUCGAGUUGUUUGGGAAUGCAGCUCAAAAUGGGUGGUAAAUUUCAUCUAAAGCUAAAUAUUGGCCAGAGACCGAUAGCGCACAAGUAGAGUGAUCGAAAGAUGAAAAGCACUUUGAAAAGAGAGUUAAACAGUAUGUGAAAUUGUUGAAAGGGAAGCGCUUGCAACCAGACUUGCGCGCGGCGGUUCCCCUCGCCUUUUGGCUAGGGUACUCCGCCGCGUUCAGGCCAACAUCGGUUUUGGGGGCCAGUUAAAGGCUCUGGGAAUGUACCUACCCACGGGUAGACUUAUAGACCAGGGUGCCAUGUGGCCUCCCGGGACCGAGGAACGCGCUUCGGCUCGGAUGUUGGCGUAAUGGUUGUCAGCGACCCGUCUUGAAACACGGACCAAGGAGUCUAACAUCUAUGCGAGUGUUUGGGUGUCAAACCCGGAACGCGGAAUGAAAGUGAACGGAGGUAGGAAGCUUCGGCUGCACUAUCGACCGAUCCUGAAGUUUACGGAUGGAUUUGAGUAAGAGCAUAGCUGUUGGGACCCGAAAGAUGGUGAACUAUGCCUGAAUAGGGUGAAGCCAGAGGAAACUCUGGUGGAGGCUCGCAGCGGUUCUGACGUGCAAAUCGAUCGUCAAAUUUGGGUAUAGGGGCGAAAGACUAAUCGA
rnacentral:rRNA from 1 species